rnacentral:rRNA from 1 species
UACGGGGGGGGCAAGCGUUGUUCGGAAUUACUGGGCGUAAAGGGCGCGUAGGCGGCCUGCUAAGUCGGAUGUGAAAUCCCUCGGCUCAACCGAGGAACCGCAUCCGAUACUGGCGGGCUUGAAUCCGGGAGAGGGAUGUGGAAUUCCAGGUGUAGCGGUGAAAUGCGUAGAUAUCUGGAGGAACACCGGUGGCGAAGGCGGCGACCUGGUCCAUUACUGACGCUGAGGCGCGACAGCGUGGGGAGCAAACAGG